rnacentral:lncRNA from 1 species
CAUAAAUCUGAGAAACGUGAGUUUUGUCUUCAUUGUUUAUCUAGACAUAGGAUAGGUUGUGUGAAAAUAUUACUGAUGUUUAACGUUAAAAAUGGACCAAAAGAUUAAUGCUAAACAACAUUUGACAUGUUUGAACGAACAUAAAUAAAUUAUUUUCUAGUUUUUUUUAGCUUUUCGGCGUGAUUUUACAGUCCCCCCACCACGUUUUGUGGGAGCAUAAUGAACGCUAAGUACUUGGUGUUAUUUGGACAUAAAUUAUGAACUUUGUCAAAAGAAACCACAUUUGUUCCGGACCUGGGAUGCCUUCCGGACCUGGGAUGCCUGCCUUCUGAUGGAGAUAAUCAAAGGAGUAGCCUGUCCACAGCUCCUCUGUUCCAAUUUUUCUCAUCAUUCGUCUGAUUCCUGAGCCCAGGUCCAGGCCACAGCAGAGGGUCAGGGUUUUGCAGCAUUUCAAGUUGCCCCAAGGAUUCCGACUCCUUUGGCUGCUGGGC